CAGCACCUCAAGUGGUCAGGAUGAUUAUUGGGCCUAAAGCAUCCGUAGCCGGAGCUGUAAGUUUUCGGUUAAAUCUGUACGCUCAACGUACAGGCUGACGGGAAUACUGCAGCGCUAGGGAGUGUGAGAGGUAGACGGUACUCGGUAGGAAUGGGUAAAAUCCUUUGAUCUAUUGAUGACCACCUGUGGCGAAGGCGGUCUACCAGAACACGUUCGACGGUGAGGGAUGAAAGCUGGGGGAGCAAACCGGAUUAGAUACCCGUGUAGUCC
rnacentral:rRNA from 1 species